rnacentral:lncRNA from 1 species
GGUUCACUCUACAAAUAACUUUCCUCUAUCUUUAAACUUACACUUUCUGUAGGACUUUCUUUCUUAGGAAUUGCAUAUAUCCCCAUGCUUUAGGCAUCAGUAAAUCCUGAAAUUGCAUCUCUAGAUCUACAUUUCAGCCUCUUUAACAAUUUGCCUUGGAUAUCCUACAAGGAACCAAAACUUGGCAGAGUUCAUUUCCUUCCCGCAAUCCACUCAUUUCCUUUCCUCAAUAUUUCCCCAAACAUGCUAUUCCUCUUGACUUUUUCAUUUCUGUAAAUAGGUCUGGUGUAUUAAACUUGGAGCUAUUAUCCUUCUCUCACUUCUUUAUAUUUAAUCAAUGCAAAUUCUAUGUCUACAAUUCAUCAAUAUUUUAUUCCUGCAUUUCCAUUUUUAGUCCAUUUCUUUUACUGCAGAGACUCCUAAUUCUUAAAUUCUUUGAAAAACCUUUCCAAAUAUAAUUCUCAAGGUCAUUUCUCUUGCCUUCUUAAUUCACCUAUAAUAUCUCACUACUGAUUAUUCCCCCUGUUAUUCCAAAGUUUCUUUGGGGGGUCCACUUCAAAUGCCAUUAACUCCAUUAUGAUUUUUUCUAGUAUCAUAGCGAUGUAUAGUUUUUUGGGCAUGUGAAUUUCCUUGUAAAUUUUACUCCUCAAAUAUUGUCACCUGAGGUUAAUCCUUUUUGAAAUGUAAUCAGUUUUGUAUUUGUUCUUCCAUUUUCUCCCACCAGGCACAAAAUUGAGUGUCGUCUUAUGCUGAAGAUGUGAUGAACAAAAAAAGGAAAGAAGAAAAGAAGGGAACACAGAUAGCAAGCAGCAAGUGAAUGGAAUACUGCACAUCUACCUAGCCAGCAAGGGGCGCUCUCAGGAGCCUAUACCAGGACCCCUGAGUCCCAGCCUGCAGUGUCACAUACUGCCCCACUCCGCUGCCAACGUUACUGCUGCAGUAAUCCUUUACCCUCUUCCUCCUGUCUCUGUUAUCCACUCACCUUACUUCUCUUCAUUCAAGUUCAUAAGCCUGCAUUUUGGGACCCUGGCAGUAAGCACCUGCAAGCACUAAUGAAGGCAACAAUUCAUAACCAAGAUUGUCCUUCAGAAUCGUCUAAAGGAUUUCAGUACACACGUGGACCAGAAGUCCAAGCCAGAGCUCCCAGAGAAGAAUUUUCAAGGUAUGACGUGCAGGACGUUUUGUUUUAAUUCAUGAUAAGGAAAUUUCAUUUUAAAACAAAUAAUCUGGGCAGUAUAUGAUCCACUGGAAAUCUGAAAAAAUAAAGAUCUAUGAUAUCAUUUAUAUGGGGAUCUA